UGUAAUUCUUUUUUGUUUGGUAAUUUUUCAAUAAAUAUAUAUAUAGAGAGGUGUGUGUGUGGCUUGGUAGAAUAAUUGAAGAUAGAUAGAGAAAAGAAAGAAAGAACGAAAGAAAGAAAGAAAAGGCAAAAGGGUUUGUAAUAAGUAAAUAAAUGUAUGAUAAAGAAAGGGAAAUCUCAUGAUGAUGAUAGUGUCAAAAUCAAACAAAUUGUAUAUACAAAAUCUGAAAAAGUUAAAAUCUGAUCAUAGAGAGGAAAAAAGAGAGCUGUAAUGGUCAGAUUUAUAGGAAAAGGGAAUGAGACUGGUAUAGGUUGAAUUCAAGGAAAAUAUAAAUAAAUAAAUAAAUAUAUAUAAUCUUCUACAGUUGUCUUGGAAAGUUUUGUUAGAAACUAAUUUACACAAGCAAUUGUGUUCGUGUGUUCUGUAUUAACUGAAAUAUAAUAUUAUAACUUAGCUGUAUAUAAUUUAUAUGUAUAUCUAUCAAAUACCGAGUUGAUAAACACAGUAUCAUUAUCAAAAGUAGAAAGGAUAUAUAAAUAUAUAGUACUAAUUUAUUCAAGUUUAGACAAAUUCAAUGCAAGGAAGAAAACUUUACAGAUAACAUCGUUGUGAUUUUAUAUUCCAAUCCAGGUAGCAAACUUCAAUCCUACUUUGAUAAAUCGAUUAACAAAAAAAUAAAAUGAAUGUAUAUGAAGUCCCACACCUAUAAUUCUUUUAUUUUCUUCGAAAAGGAUUCUUUCUAUAAUUCAAUAUAAUUUUCCAACCACCCCACUUCAUCUCUCCCUCAUCCCUCAACUCCAAACCCAAACCAGUCUCAUACUAAUUUUUUUUUCACCUAGCCUCACCCCAUGAGUAGGGGGGCGCAUAAGAAGCAGCUAGAGUAACUCUACUCUGUCAUCAAUAAACAAUCUGACAGCACAAAAACUAAAGCUAGAGGAUUGAAAAUAGAUGAGAAACCUUUUCUCUAAUGUAGAGGCCAGAGCAGCUACAAAACACAGUACUUGUUCUUUUUAAGAGCCUCGACUGGAGAAGAAAGCUCCACUGCAUUUUUUUUUUUUUAAAAAAAAAAAUGUGAAUUGGAAUCAUCAAUGAUGAUAGUUUGUUCCUGAUUUUGUUUUUGUUGGGGUUAAUGGUGUGUUUUAUAUCAUUUCUAAGAGGGUAAUGGCCUGUUUUGGUUAUUAAUUAAUUAUCUAGAGUUUAGGAAGGCAUAUGAUUACUUACAUCCAUCCCACCUCGUUUUUGGAUUAAUGGUCGUAGAAUGUAUGUACUCUGUUUGUCGUUUGUAAUUUCAACUAGAAUGAUUUUCUUUUGACUGUUA